AGACCAGGAAGACAGGCUCAUUUGGGUUCACCACCUUCUCGCUGAAGGAGGACAAGAUCUUUGGAGUACCAUCUGUGAUGGGGGGUGAGGUAGGGUGGAGAAGAAAUAAAUGCUCCCCGGCCACAAGAGACAGUUGCCUGAGCAUGGCUGCCAAGAUCAAACCAGGCUGAGUGGGGUUGUCAACAUCCAUAAGGAAAGAAACCUUCCUCUCUGCCAUCACAUGAAUGCCCACAUUCCCAUGGGAGCGGAUUGAUGUCAAAACUGAUCGAAAAAGCAAUUUACAGGAGAUUGUCUUCGCUGCACUGUGGUGGGCAUGCUAAGACAGAGGCAGCUUAGGAAGCCUUUAAGGCCCGGGGAGAAACAACACUGCAACAGCUACAGGCUUCUCCAUUUUGAUUCUGUACUGGUCCUCUGAAAUCUCACUGUGGAAUCCAUCUUGAGUGAGACAAAAUGGUAUUUCACUCCAGCCGCUGUGAGCUGCUGCAAUUUUCUCUUCAAGCACCUCUAUACUCCUCCAAUGCCUUUUAAGACGUCAGAGCCCAGUUAUUGUGUUAUGACAGAAUGAAGUGCAGGCAGAGGGGACGCUACAGUAGGGAGGGGAUACGAAAUGAGAGCUAUUGUAUUGAAUUGUAUUUUAUUGUAUUUCUUCACUGCUCCCUUUGAUUCCACGGCUUUAUCUUUGACUUGCUUGCUGCAUCAGCAUU